rnacentral:rRNA from 1 species
GGUUAAGCGACUAAGCGUACACGGUGGAUGCCCUGGCAGUCAGAGGCGAUGAAGGACGUGCUAAUCUGCGAAAAGCGUCGGUAAGGUGAUAUGAACCGUUAUAACCGGCGAUGUCCGAAUGGGGAAACCCAGUGUGAUUCGUCACACUAUCGUUAACUGAAUACAUAGGUUAACGAGGCGAACCGGGGGAACUGAAACAUCUAAGUACCCCGAGGAAAAGAAAUCAACCGAGAUUCCCCCAGUAGCGGCGAGCGAACGGGGAGCAGCCCAGAGUCUGAAUCAGCUUGUGUGUUAGUGGAACGGUCUGGAAAGUCCGACGGUACAGGGUGAUAGUCCCGUACACCAAAAUGCACAGGCUGUGAACUCGAAGAGUAGGGCGGGACACGUGGUAUCCUGUCUGAAUAUGGGGGGACCAUCCUCCAAGGCUAAAUACUCCUGACUGACCGAUAGUGAACCAGUACCGUGAGGGAAAGGCGAAAAGAACCCCGGCGAGGGGAGUGAAAAAGAACCUGAAACCGUGUACGUACAAGCAGUGGGAGCACCUUCGGGUGUGACUGCGUACCUUUUGUAUAAUGGGUCAGCGACUUAUAUUCUGUAGCAAGGUUAACCGUAUAGGGGAGCCGCAGGGAAACCGAGUCUUAACUGGGCGUUAAGUUGCAGGGUAUAGACCCGAAACCCGGUGAUCUAGCCAUGGGCAGGUUGAAGGUUGGGUAACACUAACUGGAGGACCGAACCGACUAAUGUUGAAAAAUUAGCGGAUGACUUGUGGCUGGGGGUGAAAGGCCAAUCAAACCGGGAGAUAGCUGGUUCUCCCCGAAAGCUAUUUAGGUAGCGCCUCGUGAAUUCAUCUUCGGGGGUAGAGCACUGUUUCGGCUAGGGGGUCAUCCCGACUUACCAACCCGAUGCAAACUACGAAUACCGAAGAAUGUUAUCACGGGAGACACACGGCGGGUGCUAACGUCCGUCGUGAAGAGGGAAACAACCCAGACCGCCAGCUAAGGUCCCAAAGUCAUGGUUAAGUGGGAAACGAUGUGGGAAGGCACAGACAGCCAGGAUGUUGGCUUAGAAGCAGCCAUCAUUUAAAGAAAGCGUAAUAGCUCACUGGUCGAGUCGGCCUGCGCGGAAGAUGUAACGGGGCUAAACCAUGCACCGAAGCUGCGGCAGCGACACUAUGUGUUGUUGGGUAGGGGAGCGUUCUGUAAGCCUGCGAAGGUGACCUGUGAGGGUUGCUGGAGGUAUCAGAAGUGCGAAUGCUGACAUAAGUAACGAUAAAGCGGGUGAAAAGCCCGCUCGCCGGAAGACCAAGGGUUCCUGUCCAACGUUAAUCGGGGCAGGGUGAGUCGACCCCUAAGGCGAGGCCGAAAGGCGUAGUCGAUGGGAAACAGGUUAAUAUUCCUGUACUUGGUGUUACUGCGAAGGGGGGACGGAGAAGGCUAUGUUAGCCGGGCGACGGUUGUCCCGGUUUAAGCAUGUAGGCUGAUUGUCCAGGCAAAUCCGGAUAAUCAAGGCUGAGGUGUGAUGACGAGGCACUACGGUGCUGAAGUAACAAAUGCCCUGCUUCCAGGAAAAGCCUCUAAGCAUCAGGUAACAUUAAAUCGUACCCCAAACCGACACAGGUGGUCAGGUAGAGAAUACCAAGGCGCUUGAGAGAACUCGGGUGAAGGAACUAGGCAAAAUGGUGCCGUAACUUCGGGAGAAGGCACGCUGGUGUGUAGGUGAAGUCCCUGCGGAUGGAGCUGAGACCAGUCGAAGAUACCAGCUGGCUGCAACUGUUUAUUAAAAACACAGCACUGUGCAAACACGAAAGUGGACGUAUACGGUGUGACGCCUGCCCGGUGCCGGAAGGUUAAUUGAUGGGGUUAUCCGUAAGGAGAAGCUCUUGAUCGAAGCCCCGGUAAACGGCGGCCGUAACUAUAACGGUCCUAAGGUAGCGAAAUUCCUUGUCGGGUAAGUUCCGACCUGCACGAAUGGCGUAAUGAUGGCCAGGCUGUCUCCACCCGAGACUCAGUGAAAUUGAACUCGCUGUGAAGAUGCAGUGUACCCGCGGCAAGACGGAAAGACCCCGUGAACCUUUACUAUAGCUUGACACUGAACAUUGAGCCUUGAUGUGUAGGAUAGGUGGGAGGCUUUGAAGCGUGGACGCCAGUCUGCGUGGAGCCAACCUUGAAAUACCACCCUUUAAUGUUUGAUGUUCUAACGUUGGCCCCUGACCGGGGUUGCGGACAGUGUCUGGUGGGUAGUUUGACUGGGGCGGUCUCCUCCCAAAGCGUAACGGAGGAGCACGAAGGUUAGCUAAUCCUGGUCGGACAUCAGGAGGUUAGUGCAAUGGCAUAAGCUAGCUUGACUGCGAGCGUGACGGCGCGAGCAGGUGCGAAAGCAGGUCAUAGUGAUCCGGUGGUUCUGAAUGGAAGGGCCAUCGCUCAACGGAUAAAAGGUACUCCGGGGAUAACAGGCUGAUACCGCCCAAGAGUUCAUAUCGACGGCGGUGUUUGGCACCUCGAUGUCGGCUCAUCACAUCCUGGGGCUGAAGUAGGUCCCAAGGGUAUGGCUGUUCGCCAUUUAAAGUGGUACGCGAGCUGGGUUUAGAACGUCGUGAGACAGUUCGGUCCCUAUCUGCCGUGGGCGCUGGAGAAUUGAGGGGGGCUGCUCCUAGUACGAGAGGACCGGAGUGGACGCAUCACUGGUGUUCGGGUUGUCAUGCCAAUGGCACUGCCCGGUAGCUAAAUGCGGAAGAGAUAAGUGCUGAAAGCAUCUAAGCACGAAACUUGCCCCGAGAUGAGUUCUCCCUGAGACUUUAAGUCUCCUGAAGGAACGUUGAAGACGACGACGUUGAUAGGCCGGGUGUGUAAGCGCAGCGAUGCGUUGAGCUAACCGGUACUAAUGAACCGUGAGGCUUAACCUU